ensembl:lncRNA
GUUCUAAAGGAGUGGUUGGGCAGGUUCUAAAGGAGUUGUUGGGCAGGUUCUAAAGGAGUGGUUGGGCAGGUUCUGAAGGAGUGGUUGGGCAGGUUCUGAAGGAGUGGUUGGGCAGGUUCUGGAGGAGUGGUUGGGCAGGUUCUAAAGGAGUGGUUGGGCAGGUUCUGAAGGAGUAGUUGGGCAGGUUCUACAGGAGUGGUUGGGCAGGUUCUAAAGGAGUGGUUGGGCAGGUUCUAAAGGAGUGGUUAGGCAGGUUCUAAAGGAGUGGUUGGGCAGGUUCUAAAGGAGUGGUUGGGCAGGUUCUAAAGGAGUUGUUGGGCAGGUUCUAAAGGAGUGGUUGGGCAGGUUCUGAAGGAGUGGUUGGGCAGGUUCUGAAGGAGUGGUUGGGCAGGUUCUGGAGGAGUGGUUGGGCAGGUUCUAAAGGAGUGGUUGGGCAGGUUCUGAAGGAGUAGUUGGGCAGGUUCUAAAGGAGUGGUUGGGCAGGUUCUAAAGGAGUGGUUGGGAAGGUUCUAAAGGAGUUGUUGGGCAGGUUCUAAAGGAGUGGUUGGGCAGGUUCUGAAGGAGUGGUUGGGCAGGUUCUGAAGGAGUGGUUGGGCAGGUUCUGGAGGAGUGGUUGGGCAGGUUCUAAAGGAGUGGUUGGGCAGGUUCUAAAGGAGUAGUUGGGCAGGUUCUAAAGGACUGGUUGGGCAGGUUCUAAAGUAGUAGUUGGGCAGGUUCUAAAGGAGUGGUAGGGCAGGUUCUGAAGGAGUGGUUGGGCAGGUUCUGAAGGAGUGGUUGGGCAGGUUCUGAAGGAGUGGUUGGACAGGUUCUAAAGGAGUGGUUGGGUAGGUUCUAAAGGAGUGGUUGGGCAGGUUCUAAAGGAGUAGUUGGGCAGGUUAUAAAGGAGUGGUUGGGCAGGUUCUAAAGGAGUAGUUGGGCAGGUUCUAAAGGAGUGGUUGGGCAGGUUCUAAAGGAGUAGUUGGGCAGGUUCUAAAGGAGUGGUUGGGCAGGUUCUGAAGGAGUGGUGGGGCAGGUUCUGAAGGAGUGGUUGGGCAGGUUCUGAAGGAGUGGUUGGGCAGGUUCUGAAGGAGUGGUUGGGCAGGUUCUGAAGGAAUGGUUGGGCAGGUUCUGAAGGAGUGGUUGGGCAGGAUCUAAAGGAGUGGUUAGGCAGGUUCUAAAGGAGUGGUUGGGCAGGUUCUAAAGGAGUGGUUGGGCAGGUUCUGAAGGAGUGGUUGGGCAGGUUCUGAAGGAGUGGUUGGGCAGGUUCUGAAGGAGUGGUUGGGCAGGUUCUGAAGGAAUGGUUGGGCAGGUUCUGAAGGAGUGGUUGGGCAGGAUCUAAAGGAGUGGUUAGGCAGGUUCUAAAGGAGUGGUUGGGCAGGUUCUAAAGGAGUGGUUGGGCAGGUUCUGAAGGAGUGGUUGGGCAGGUUCUAAACGAGUGGUUGGGCAGGAUCUAAAGGAGUGGUUAGGCAGGUUCUAAAGGAGUGGUUGGGCAGGUUCUAAAGGAGUGGUUGGGCAGGUUCUGAAGGAGUGGUUGGGCAGGUUCUAAACGAGUGGUUGGGCAGGUUCUGAAGGAGUAGUUGGUGGCUCUAUCCACGUUGCACUUAAUUCCUUGGUCUCUCUUGGGUAUGUUCAGAGCUCCUGCAGAGGGUGAGUGUGUUUUCGGCUGCAACACAACCUAGGGAACCAUACUUUUUGCAGUCUUUGGGCUGGUUUGCAUUGAAGAUAUGGCCCCUACAAUGUCCUAAUUGGAUAAUUGAUGGCAUGUGCUGCAAUCUUCCGAAGUCUUUUCAUGUGACUGAAGAGGCUUCUUCUCUCAAAGCUUAGACCUUGGAACUGAGAUACUCCUAUUGGUUCCCAGAGCAAUGUUCUGGGUGUACUGCCAAUUGGUCUGAGGAGGUCGUCACAGUCACCUGCAUGAACCAAGAUGGAGUGAGAGGAGAUGCU